rnacentral:rRNA from 1 species
AGCAGCCGCGGUAAUUCCAGCUCCAAUAGCGUAUAUUAAAGUUGUUGCAGUUAAAAAGCUCGUAGUUGAAUUUCGGGAUCAAUCUGUUGGUCGUGCCUUUGGUACGUACUGGCUUAUUGAUUUCUCCCUUCUGACGAACCAUGAUGUCAUUAAUUUGGUGUCAUGGGAAAUCAGGACUGUUACUUUGAAAAAAUUAGAGUGUUUAAAGCAGGCUCACGCUUGAAUACAUUAGCAUGGAAUAAUGAAAUAGGACGUUUUGAUUCUAUUUUGUUGGUUUCUAGGAUCGACGUAAUGAUUAAUAGGGAUAGUUGGGGGCAUUAGUAUUCAAUUGUCAGAGGUGAAAUUCUUGGAUUUAUUGAAGACUAACUACUGCGAAAGCAUUUGCCAAGGAUGUUUUCAUUAAUCAAGAACGAAAGUUAGGGGAUCGAAGACGAUCAGAUACCGUCGUAGUCUUAACCAUAAACUAUGCCGACUAGGGAUCGGAUGAUGUU